rnacentral:rRNA from 1 species
CCUACGGGUGGCUGCAGUGGGGAAUAUUGGACAAUGGGCGAAAGCCUGAUCCAGCCAUGCCGCGUGUGUGAAGAAGGCCUUCGGGUUGUAAAGCACUUUCAGUGGGGAAGAAAGCCUUGGGGCUAAUACCCUCGAGGAAGGACAUCACCCACAGAAGAAGCACCGGCUAACUCCGUGCCAGCAGCCGCGGUAAUACGGAGGGUGCGAGCGUUAAUCGGAAUUACUGGGCGUAAAGCGCGCGUAGGCGGUCUGAUAAGCCGGUUGUGAAAGCCCCGGGCUCAACCUGGGAACGGCAUCCGGAACUGUCAGGCUAGAGUGCAGGAGAGGAAGGUAGAAUUCCCGGUGUAGCGGUGAAAUGCGUAGAGAUCGGGAGGAAUACCAGUGGCGAAGGCGGCCUUCUGGACUGACACUGACGCUGAGGUGCGAAAGCGUGGUAGCAAACAGGAUUAGAUACCCUAGUAGUC